rnacentral:lncRNA from 1 species
UGGUGGUGUCCCCUGAGGCCAGGUUUAGGGAGGUCCUGCUCUCAGCUGGCCCCUUGGCAGAGUGUCCUCUGUCAGGACCAAUUCUGAGACUGCCACCAAGUAGGGAAGGCUCUAACAGGUGCUAUUCUCCGUUUAGCGGCAUGUUCAGUGCUACAGAGAAUCCCCUGCUCUUUCCCUCUGCGUGCUGCUUUUGUAUUUGUUUAAACAAACAAUAAAAAGUUACUGGUUUUCACCUGUGUAACCAGAGGGUGGAUUUGUAGUUAUUUUUCCGACCCCGGGUCAAGAACACAAACUUAAGUGUUUAUUCAAACUGUUGGCCGAUAGUUCUGAGACAUGAAGAUUUUACAACAGUGAAAAAUUGUUCCAUGUUUCCUGUGCAUUUCAAAAAUAAAGUUCAUCUGCUUCC